CUGAAGACAGACCUGAAUAGCGAGGAACUUGAACAAAGAAAAUGACGAGAUCUGGAGCAGAAGGAUCAGGAAGUCUUCCCACCGCUAACACAGAAGCAUAAGGAUCAUGAGGUGGAACUCAACAGUGACAAAUAUAAAACAAAAUCAUAGGAAGAUACACCCACACAGGAACUAAUGAGUACACAGUCCUACAGCAGCUUUGCCAGACCUGCCUAAUUCUUUGUUCAGUAUCAUUCUUUAAGGAGGAAAAGAAAAAAAAUAACCAUAAUUUAAAGAGGCUGUGCAUAGCUUUUCUUUCCUAAUCACCUUUCCCUGAAACCUGAAAUUAUAGCCAUUAAAUGUAUUUAUUGUGCAUUUCCCCAACACCCACUUUUGUAUUUUGCAGUCUAGGAAAUCAUUGUGCUUUUUCCAGGGACUUCAUGUGAACUGCUUCCUUGGUAUCUUAAUGCCUGAAAAUAAAUGUUGACAAUAUUUACCUACUCCAGCUAGAUGUUACAAUAAGGAGGUUCAUAAAAAGAGCCAGUCUAAUGAUUGAGAAUUUGCCUUCUUCUAGUGCAUUUUGGCUUUGAGUUUAUCCAACAACUUCCUCAUAAAGUCUUUGUAAACACUGACAGCUGGAAUUGCCAUCUUAUGGUCAUUUUACCAGUACUUCCACGCUAUUAUUUGAGAAGAAAUUAAUGGCUGCUCUGUCAUUGACUUCAGAUAUUGCAAUAAUGCUACCCACAAGAAAUCUUUUCCACUUGCUUAUUACAUAGCCUGGAAGCCCUAACCAUACACCAGGACCUUAUUGUUCAGUGCCAGACAAAUGGCUAACUGGCUGGAUUCAACACCAAAAGUUAAAAAGUAAGAGACAACGAACAGCUACAAAGAAAAUGUGAUUAUAUUGGCCAGAAUGGAGAAAAUGUUCUCAUCACAUCAGCAGCUUAACUGAAGUCAAAUGAUAGAGGGACGGCAGGAAAGUUAAGUUUUUAAAUUUAUUUCAUUGUCUGUAACAUGGAAUAUCUUCCUAAGGCAGUCAUUUCAAUUUUCCUUAUUGAAGAGACAGAAGUAAAGAAUAUGUACCCUUAGAAAAGGCGCUGUUAAAAGGAUAUUGAAUAUGCAGUCAAAUGUCCAAGUGUAAAUGGGUUCUUCCUAUGCAGUUUUCUGAAUAUUCCAGCAAUUAUUGUUAGCUCCUUUUUUUCACAUCACUGUCUGCAAUCAGAGCUAUGCAAACAGAAGAAUGCUGUUCUCAUCUAUCUUCCUACAAAAGCAGAAAACAAGCUUGAUCAUCCACUAAACCAUCCUGAAUUUAAAUUGCAAAUGUGUAUUUGAUUGUCUGGUUUUGUUUUCUGAACAGAUAAAAUUCACUUAAACUUUG